CCUACGGGAGGCAGCAGUAAGGAAUAUUGGUCAAUGGACGAAAGUCUGAACCAGCCAUGCCGCGUGAAGGAUGAAGGUCCUCUGGAUUGUAAACUUCUUUUAUCUGGGACGAAAAAAGGGCUUUCUAGCUCACUUGACGGUACCAGAGGAAUAAGCACCGGCUAACUCCGUGCCAGCAGCCGCGGUAAUACGGAGGGUGCAAGCGUUAUCCGGAUUUACUGGGUUUAAAGGGAGCGUAGGUGGGCAGGUAAGUCAGUGGUGAAAUCUCUGGGCUUAACCCGGAAACUGCCAUUGAUACUAUCUGUCUUGAAUAUCCUGGAGGUAAGCGGAAUAUGUCAUGUAGCGGUGAAAUGCUUAGAUAUGACAUAGAACACCCAUUGCGAAGGCAGCUUACUACGGGAUUAUUGACACUGAGGCUCGAAAGCGUGGGGAUCAAACAGGAUUAGAUACCCUGGUAGUCCACGCCCUAAACGAUGGAUACUCGACAUCAGCGAUACACUGUUGGUGUCUGAGCGAAAGCAUUAAGUAUCCCACCUGGAAGUACGACCGCAAGGUUGAAACUUAAAGGAAUUGACGG
rnacentral:rRNA from 1 species